GACGAACGCUUGCGGCGUGCUUAACACAUGCAAGUCGAACGGAAAGGCCCUGCUUUUGUGGGGUGCUCGAGUGGCGAACGGGUGAGUAACACGUGAGUAACCUGCCCUUGACUUUGGGAUAACUUCAGGAAACUGGGGCUAAUACCGGAUAGGAGCUCCUGCUGCAUGGUGGGGGUUGGAAAGUUUCGGCGGUUGGGGAUGGACUCGCGGCUUAUCAGCUUGUUGGUGGGGUAGUGGCUUACCAAGGCUUUGACGGGUAGCCGGCCUGAGAGGGUGACCGGCCACAUUGGGACUGAGAUACGGCCCAGACUCCUACGGGAGGCAGCAGUGGGGAAUAUUGCACAAUGGGCGGAAGCCUGAUGCAGCAACGCCGCGUGCGGGAUGACGGCCUUCGGGUUGUAAACCGCUUUCGCCUGUGACGAAGCGUGAGUGACGGUAAUGGGUAAAGAAGCACCGGCUAACUACGUGCCAGCAGCCGCGGUGAUACGUAGGGUGCGAGCGUCGUCCGGAUUUAUUGGGCGUAAAGGGCUCGUAGGUGGUUGAUCGCGUCGGAAGUGUAAUCUUGGGGCUUAACCCUGAGCGUGCUUUCGAUACGGGUUGACUUGAGGAAGGUAGGGGAGAAUGGAAUUCCUGGUGGAGCGGUGGAAUGCGCAGAUAUCAGGAGGAACACCAGUGGCGAAGGCGGUUCUCUGGGCCUUUCCUGACGCUGAGGAGCGAAAGCGUGGGGAGCGAACAGGCUUAGAUACCCUGGUAGUCCACGCUGUAAACGGUGGGUACUAGGUGUGGGGUCCAUUCCACGGGUUCCGUGCCGUAGCUAACGCUUUAAGUACCCCGCCUGGGGAGUACGGCCGCAAGGCUAAAACUCAAAGGAAUUGACGGGGCCCCGCACAAGCGGCGGAGCAUGCGGAUUAAUUCGAUGCAACGCGUAGAACCUUACCUGGGUUUGACAUGGAUCGGGAGUGCUCAGAGAUGGGUGUGCCUCUUUUGGGGUCGGUUCACAGGUGGUGCAUGCCUGCCGUCAGCUCGUGUCGUGAGAUGUUGGGUUAAGUCCCGCAACGGGCGCAACCCUUGUUCACUGUUGCCAGCACGUUAUGGUGGGGACUCAGUGGAGACCGCCGGGGUCAACUCGGAGGAAGGUGGGGAUGACGUCAAGUCCUCAUGCCCCUUAUGUCCAGGGCUUCACGCAUGCUACAAUGGCUGGUACAGAGAGUGGCGAGCCUGUGAGGGUGAGCGAAUCUCGGAAAGCCGGUCUCAGUUCGGAUUGGGGUCUGCAACUCGACCUCAUGAAGUCGGAGUCGCUAGUAAUCGCAGAUCAGCAACGCUGCGGUGAAUACGUUCCCGGGGCU
rnacentral:rRNA from 1 species